GACGAACGCUGGCGGCGUGCCUAAUACAUGCAAGUAGAACGCUGAAGGAGGAGCUUGCUCUUCUGGAUGAGCUGCGAACGGGUGAGUAACGCGUAGGUAACCUGCCUGGUAGCGGGGGAUAACUAUUGGAAACGAUAGCUAAUACCGCAUAAGAGUAGAUGUUGCAUGACAUUUGCUUAAAAGGUGCAAUUGCAUCACUACCAGAUGGACCUGCGUUGUAUUAGCUAGUUGGUGAGGUAACGGCUCACCAAGGCGACGAUACAUAGCCGACCUGAGAGGGUGAUCGGCCACACUGGGACUGAGACACGGCCCAGACUCCUACGGGAGGCAGCAGUAGGGAAUCUUCGGCAAUGGACGGAAGUCUGACCGAGCAACGCCGCGUGAGUGAAGAAGGUUUUCGGAUCGUAAAGCUCUGUUGUAAGAGAAGAACGAGUGUGAGAGUGGAAAGUUCACACUGUGACGGUAUCUUACCAGAAAGGGACGGCUAACUACGUGCCAGCAGCCGCGGUAAUACGUAGGCCCCGAGCGUUGUCCGGAUUUAUUGGGCGUAAAGCGAGCGCAGGCGGUUAGAUAAGUCUGAAGUUAAAGGCUGUGGCUUAACCAUAGUACGCUUUGGAAACUGUUUAACUUGAGUGCAAGAGGGGAGAGUGGAAUUCCAUGUGUAGCGGUGAAAUGCGUAGAUAUAUGGAGGAACACCGGUGGCGAAAGCGGCUCUCUGGCUUGUAACUGACGCUGAGGCUCGAAAGCGUGGGGAGCAAACAGG
rnacentral:rRNA from 1 species